CCUACGGGAGGCAGCAGUGGGGAAUAUUGCACAAUGGGGGAAACCCUGAUGCAGCAACGCCGCGUGAGGGAAGAAGUAUUUCGGUAUGUAAAGCUCUAUCAGCAGGGAAGAAAAUGACAGUACCUGACUAAGAAGCCCCGGCUAACUACGUGCCAGCAGCCGCGGUAAUACGGAGGGGGCAAGCGUUAUCCGGAUUUACUGGGUGUAAAGGGAGCGUAGACGGCUGCGCAAGUCAGAAGUGAAAGUGCGGGGCUCAACCGCGGGCCUGCAGUUGAAACCGGGUAGCGAGAGUGCAGGAAAGGUAAGUGGAAUUCCUAGUGUAGCGGUGAAAUGCGUAGAUAUUAGGAGGAACACCGAUGGCGAAGGCAGCUUACUGGACUGUAACUGACGUUGAGGCUCGAAAGCGCGGGGAGCGAACAGGAUGAGAUACCCGUGUAGUC
rnacentral:rRNA from 1 species